CAUUCAUGUGUUAGAUAUACUGAAAAACGUACGAAUAUGGAUAUCACUAUCAGUCACCUCUUGCUUAUGUCUUUAUUAAUAAUCCAAUGUAUCACUUUAACAAAAAGUGAGGAUCAACUACAAUUAAAUGAAAAAAAUAAUCCGUUAGAGAACCUUAUAUUGCAUGAUAAUACACAGGAAAAUUAAAACCAAAAUACAGAUCAAGAUAAUGUUAGAGUGAAAAGGCAGUUCGGCUACUAUCCCUACGGUUAUUACCCUCGCCCUUAUCCAUUACCAAUACUUGUAGGCGGAAUCGGAAUUGGAAUUGGCAGACCAGGGUUUGGUUUCGGAAGACCUAGUUUUGGUGGACGAGGGUUUGGAUUUGGAAGGCCGGGUUUCGGCGGUAGGGGAUUUGGUGGCAGAGGAUUUGGCGGCCGCGGUUUUGGUGGGUUUGGUGGACGUGGAUUUGGUGGAUUUGGUGGAAGAGGUGGACGGGGAUAAAAUAAUUACUGUGAUAUAAUUUAAAUAUAAGUUAUAAAGAUAAACUUC